GAUGAACGCUAGCGGCAGGCUUAAUACAUGCAAGUCGAGGGGCAGCAGCUUUAUAGCAAUAUAGAGGCUGGUGACCGGCAAACGGGUGCGGAACACGUACACAACCUUCCUUUAAGAGGGGGAUAGCCCAUAGAAAUGUGGAUUAAUACCCCGUAACAUAUCGGUGUGGCAUCACACUGUUAGUAUAGUUUAGACGCUUGAAGAUGGGUGUGCGGCUGAUUAGGUAGUUGGCGGGGUAAAGGCCCACCAAGCCUUCGAUCAGUAGCUGAUGUGAGAGCAUGAUCAGCCACACGGGCACUGAGACACGGGCCCGACUCCUACGGGAGGCAGCAGUAAGGAAUAUUGGUCAAUGGACGCAAGUCUGAACCAGCCAUGCCGCGUGAAGGAUGAAGGUCCUCUGGAUUGUAAACUUCUUUUAUAGGGGGCGAAAAAAGGGAAUUCUUUCUCACUUGACAGUACCCUAUGAAUAAGCACCGGCUAACUCCGUGCCAGCCGCCGCCGUAA
rnacentral:rRNA from 1 species